CCUACGGGGGGCAGCAGUGGGGAAUAUUGCACAAUGGGGGAAACCCUGAUGCAGCGACGCCGCGUGAGUGAAGAAGUAUUUCGGUAUGUAAAGCUCUGUCAGCAGGGAAGAAAAUGACGGUACCUGACCAAGAAGCCCCGGCUAACUACGUGCCAGCAGCCGCGGUAAUACGUAGGUGGCAAGCGUUAUCCGGAUUUACUGGGUGUAACGGGAGCGUAGGCGGCGGGGCAAGUCUGGAGUGAAAGGCGGGGGCUCAACCCCCGGACUGCUCUGGAAACUGCCAGGCUGGAGUGCAGGAGAGGUAAGUGGAAUGCGUGGUGUAGCGGUGAAAUGCGUAGAUAUUAGGAGGAACACCAGUGGCGAAGGCGGCUUACUGGACUGUAACUGACGUUGAGGCACGAAAGCGUGGGGAGCAAACAGGAUUAGAUACCCUUGUAGUC
rnacentral:rRNA from 1 species